rnacentral:rRNA from 1 species
AUACGGAGGGUGCAAGCGUUAUCCGGAAUCAUUGGGUUUAAAGGGUCCGUAGGCGGGCGAUUAAGUCAGAGGUGAAAUCCCACAGCUCAACUGUGGAACUGCCUUUGAUACUGGUUGUCUAGAGUUACAGUGAAGUAGAUAGAAUGUGUAGUGUAGCGGUGAAAUGCAUAGAUAUUACACAGAAUACCGAUUGCGAAGGCAGUCUACUAACUGUAUACUGACGCUAAUGGACGAAAGCGUGGGGAGCGAACAGGAUUAGAAACCCUAGUAGUCC